UACGAAGGGGGCUAGCGUUGCUCGGAAUGACUGGGCGUAAAGGGCGCGUAGGCGGAUUGUACAGUCAGGCGUGAAAUUCCCGGGCUCAACCUGGGGGCUGCGCUUGAUACGUAUGGUCUGGAGUGGGGAAGAGGGUCGUGGAAUUCCCAGUGUAGAGGUGAAAUUCGUAGAUAUUGGGAAGAACACCGGUGGCGAAGGCGGCGACCUGGUCCUUGACUGACGCUGAGGCGCGAAAGCGUGGGGAGCAAACAGG
rnacentral:rRNA from 1 species